rnacentral:rRNA from 1 species
GUCCACGCCGUAAACGAUGGAUACUAGCUGUUGGGCGCAAGUUCAGUGGCUAAGCGAAAGUGAUAAGUAUCCCACCUGGGGAGUACGUUCGCAAGAAUGAAACUCAAAGGAAUUGACGGGGCCCGCACAAGCGGUGGAGCAUGUGGUUUAAUUCGAUGAUACGCGAGGAACCUUACCAAGGCUUAAAUGUAGUUUGACAGAUUUGGAAACAGAUUUUUCUUCGGACAAAUUACAAGGUGCUGCAUGGUUGUCGU